rnacentral:rRNA from 1 species
UACGAAGGGGGCUAGCGUUGUUCGGAAUUACUGGGCGUAAAGCGCACGUAGGCGGAUUGUUAAGUCAGGGGUGAAAUCCUGGAGCUCAACUCCAGAACUGCCUUUGAUACUGGCGAUCUUGAGUCCGGGAGAGGUGAGUGGAACUGCGAGUGUAGAGGUGAAAUUCGUAGAUAUUCGCAAGAACACCAGUGGCGAAGGCGGCUCACUGGCCCGGUACUG